ACUGCUACAACCAUUUUGUGAAAAAUUCUCGGUUCCCACCGGAGACCUCAAUUCAGGUUCCCAAAUUCUCUCACCCAAUACACCAGUAUACUCCCUCUCUCUCUCUCGAGCGCGCGCGCGCCAUGGCUUCCUCUAUCUCACACCCACCACCACUGCUCACAUUAUCCCGCAAGUCAACCCAUCUGAAACUCUCACCCAACCCAAUCACCAAGGUUUUACACUUCCAGUCAAACCCAUUCCAAUCCUCUCCUCAUCUGGGUCCUCUCCUCACCGCUCAAAAACCCCUUAUUCUCUCUCCCGCAAGAGUUUCUUCACGCGGGUCUCUCGAUUCCACACAUGAAAUCGAGCCUCUGUCCCCCUUUGAGGAAAGACCAGUCAAAUUCCUCUUCUGGGUGUUCUUCUGGGCAUCUCUAUCCCUUGCCUGUUUUGCUGCAUCAGGUGAUGCCAAAGCUGCUCUUGCUGCCGAUUCCAUUAGGGCCUCGAGCUUCGGUCUGAAGGUUGCGAACGCGUUGCGGGGCUGGGGUUGGCCCGAUGAGGCUGUUGUGUUGGCCCUAGCUACACUUCCGGUAAUUGAGCUUCGUGGGGCUAUUCCGGUUGGGUACUGGUUGCAACUCAGUCCUUUAAUCUUGACGGUCUUGGCUGUUAUUGGGAACAUGGUUCCUGUGCCCUUCAUUGUACUCUAUUUGAAGAAAUUUGCAACUUUCCUUUCGAGGAAGAACCCUUCUGCAUCUCGUUUGCUUGAGCUGUUAUUUGAGAAGACCAAGGAAAAGGCUGGUCCCGUGGAAGAGUUUCAAUGGCUUGGUCUGAUGCUGUUUGUGGCUGUGCCAUUCCCUGGAACAGGGGCAUGGACUGGAGCUAUCAUAGCUUCCAUUCUCGAUAUGCCGUUCUGGUGUGCUGUUUCAGCAAACUUCUGUGGCGUGGUGUUCGCCGGGCUUUUGGUGAACUUGCUGGUGAAUCUUGGGCUCAAGUAUGCCAUUGUAACUGGUAUUAUUUUGUUUACCGUUUCAACUUUCAUGUGGAGAAUCCUUAGGAAUCUUAAAAGAUCUCUCAGCUCAUCAAACUGCUAUGGUACUCUGGACGACAGCAACCCUUGAUUCUUGUAAGCUGUACUUAUAUGCUGAAAUCCCGUACUUUUGACAUAGAUUGAAGGAGAUGUUGAAUUCUUGGCCUAGCUGAAUGUAAUCACUGUUGACUAUCGACAUACUAGUAAUUACGAGUGCUGCUAGCCGCCCGCCCAUGUGUUGAGUAGCCGCCCAUGAAGGAAAAAAUGAGGCUGGCCGGAAACAAGGAAAGCAAAAUGACAAAAGUUGGCAGCCGUGCCGGAUGUGAAGUCUCCAAAGGCUGCCCAUUGGUAUUAACGUGUGGGCCGGGGUGGAUGGAUGCACUUGUUUUUACUUUUUGGGUAUAAAUAUGUAUGUGCUAAUGUAUUGAGGUGUGGGAAAUAGAAAGAAGAGAGAGCAGAGGAAGAGAGAGAGAGAAAGUGAGGGAGCCCCUCAAGGGGUUCACCCCCCGCCAGUGAGUUGUGUGUGAGAGCAAGGGAUAAGAGAGAGUGUCUCCUCCUCCUCCACCGUAUUUGUAUCUACCCACAGUGAAAUAUCUCCUCUUCCGUGGAUAUGUUCUUUUGGAAACCACGUGUAUCUUUGUGCUGUGUGUUUGAUGUGUGUAAUUGUUACCGCUCGCUUCCGCUACCCAACACAUUGUACAUACCAUGUACAUAUGAAUUUUGUGGGGUUCACUUGGGGUCCUAUAAAAAUUAUCCGAACCGUCCAUUAUUUUUAAAAUACUCCGUAUUUUUUUUAUGGAGCCUCGAAAAAUAUCAGUUCAAUCCGAUAUCGGUAAGGAUUUUUCCGGAAUGCGUAGGGAUAAAACUGAGCAGUUAAGUAGUUUCGUCCUUACAAAUUCAGAAAAAAUAUUUACUAAUAUCGGAUUGAGUUGAUUUUUUACAGGGCUCCAUUAAAAAAUAUUUUAAAAAUAAUAGGCGGUUUGAAUCAUUUUUUUGGGACUCGAGAUGAGCUCCACAAAACUCAUAUGUACAUCAUAUGUACAUUCUCAUCUGUACUCAUAGCGUUAUUGCAUAAGUAUUGAUGAGUCGUGGCAUUCCUAUUAAUGUUUUCUACUGUGGUAUAUACGUAUAUCACAAGUUUAGAGAUCGAACUCUAGAAGUUCAUUAUUUUUUCCAUAUAGAUGAUGUGUUUUCCUUCUUCUUUUUUGGGGUAAUGCAGGGUGUUUUAGGCCAGCUUGCGCGCACCUCGAACUAUUCCCUAAACCCCCUCUCACAGCCGUUUCAUACGCUUACGCGUGGGGGUGAGGUGGCUCUAAGAGUUAUUGGCAAGGAAAAUCGAAUCUGAGACUUUAGAAUGUAACAAACACCUGAGUCACAGGCCAAAACUACUUGGCCAACCCGGCCCUUGGGAUUCUUUUUUCCCUUUAUUUAAUUGGUCGUGCGUAUAAAUUAUAUGAUCCAGAUACUAGGAAAUGAGUUCAAGAUUCUAGAAUUAGUCGAAGUAUGUACAACCUGACCUUGACAUCCGAAAAAAAAACCUAGCAAAUGACGAAA